AACUUGACAAAGAGAACUUAAGCCAAGCAACCCGAAACCAGACGAGCUACCCAAGGGCAGCCAAAGAGCACACUCGUCUAUGUGGCAAAAUAGUGAGAANGACCCCUGGGUAGAGGUGAAAAGCCUAUCGAGCCUGGUGAUAGCUGGUUGUCCAGAACAGAAUAUUAGUUCGACCUUAAGACCUGCCUAAAAGACUACUAACUCAAAUGCAGUCUUAAAGUAUACUCUAAAAGGGUACAGCCUUUUAGAAAAAGAAUACAAUCUUCAAUAGAGAGUAAGUAUACUAAACCCCAUAGUUGGCCUAAAAGCAGCCACCAAUUAAGAAAGCGUUAAAGCUCAAAGACCCUUACAACCUUAAUUCAAAUAAUAAUAUACAAACUCCUACCCCAAAACUGGACCAUUCUAUAACACUAUAGAAGAGACACUGUUAAUAUGAGUAACAAGAAUCAUAUUCUCCCCGCACAAGUUUAUAUCAGAACGGAUAGUCCACUGAUAAUUAACAGCAAGAUAAAUAUAUCCCACAGCUAAAAUAUCUAUCAAAUCUACUGUUAGUCCGACACAGGAGUGCCCCCAGGAAAGAUUAAAAGAAGUGAAAGGAACUCGGCAAACAUAAACCCCGCCUGUUUACCAAAAACAUCACCUCCAGCAUAACAACUAUUGGAGGCACUGCCUGCCCAGUGACAUUAGUUAAACGGCCGCGGUAUCCUGACCGUGCAAAGGUAGCAUAAUCAUUUGUUCUCUAAAUAAGGACUUGUAUGAAUGGCCACACGAGGGUUUAACUGUCUCUUACUUCCAAUCAGUGAAAUUGACCUUCCCGUGAAGAGGCGGGAAUUCACAAAUAAGACGAGAAGACCCUAUGGAGCUUUAAUUAACUGACCCAUAAACUCACAAAAUCACUCCAAGGAAACAGACCCUGAUUUAAUGGGCCAGCAAUUUGGGUUGGGGUGACCUCGGAGUACAAAACAACCUCCGAGUGAUUUAAACUUAGACCGACAAGUCAAAGUAUUCAAUCAUUUAUUGAUCCAAAAAGCUUGAUCAACGGAACAAGUUACCCUAGGGAUAACAGCGCAAUCCUAUUUGAGAGUCCAUAUCGAUAAUGGGGUUUACGACCUCGAUGUUGGAUCAGGACAUCCUAAUGGUGCAGCCGCUAUUAAUGGUUCGUUUGUUCAACGAUUAAAGUCCUACGUGAUCUGAGUNUCAGACCGGACGUAAUCCAGGUCGGUUUCUAUCUAUUUUGCGUUCCUCCUAGUACGAAAGGACAAGAGAAACAGGGCCAACUUAACAUCAAGCGCC
rnacentral:rRNA from 1 species